AGCGAACGCUGGCGGCAGGCCUAACACAUGCAAGUCGAACGAACCUAUCGGGGUUAGUGGCGGACGGGUGAGUAACCCGUGGGAACGUUCCUUUAGGUUCGGAAUAACUCAGGGAAACUUGUGCUAAUACGGAAUGUGCGCUACGGGGGAAAGAUUUAUCGCCCUUAGAGCGGCCGGCGUCUGAUUAGCUAGUUGGUUGAGGUAAUGGCUCACCAAGGCGACGAUCAGUAGCUGGUCUGAGAGGAUGAUCAGCCACAUUGGGACUGGGACACGGCACAAACUCCUACGGGAGGCAGGAGUGGGGAAUCUUGCGCAAUGGGCGAAAGCCUGACGCAGCCAUGCCGCGUGAAUGAUGAAGGUCUUAGGAUUGUAAAAUUCUUUCACCGGGGACGAUAAUGACGGUACCCGGAGAAGAAGCCCCGGCUAACUUCGUG
rnacentral:rRNA from 1 species